GAUGAACGCUGGCGGCGUGCCUAAUACAUGCAAGUCGAGCGAACGGACGAGAAGCUUGCUUCUCUGAUGUUAGCGGCGGACGGGUGAGUAACACGUGGAUAACCUACCUAUAAGACUGGGAUAACUUCGGGAAACCGGAGCUAAUACCGGAUGAUAUUUUGAACCGCAUGGUUCAAAAGUGAAAGACGGUCUUGCUGUCACUUAUAGAUGGAUCCGCGCUGCAUUAGCUAGUUGGUAAGGUAACGGCUUACCAAGGCAACGAUGCAUAGCCGACCUGAGAGGGUGAUCGGCCGCACUGGAACUGAGACACGGUCCAGACUCCUACGGGAGGCAGCAGUAGGGAAUCUUCCGCAAUGGGCGAAAGCCUGACGGAGCAACGCCGCGUGAGUGAUGAAGGUCUUCGGACCGUAAAACUCUGUUAUUAGGGAAGAACAUAUGUGUAAGUAACUGUGCACAUCUUGACGGUACCUAAUCAGAAAGCCACGGCUAACUACGUG
rnacentral:rRNA from 1 species